rnacentral:rRNA from 1 species
AUUGAACGCUGGCGGCAGGCUUAACACAUGCAAGUCGAGCGGGGGAAGGUAGCUUGCUACCGGACCUAGCGGCGGACGGGUGAGUAAUGCUUAGGAAUCUGCCUAUUAGUGGGGGACAACAUCUCGAAAGGGAUGCUAAUACCGCAUACGUCCUACGGGAGAAAGCAGGGGAUCUUUGGACCUUGCGCUAAUAGCUGAGCCUAAGUCGGAUUAGCUAGUUGGUGGGGUAAAGGCCUACCAAGGCGACGAUCUGUAGCGGGUCUGAGAGGAUGAUCCGCCACACUGGGACUGAGACACGGCCCAGACUCCUACGGGAGGCAGCAGUGGGGAAUAUUGGACAGUGGGGGGAACCCUGAUCCAGCCAUGCCGCGUGUGUGAAGAAGGCCUUAUGGUUGUAAAGUACUUUAAGCGAGGAGGAGGCUACUUUAGUUAAUACCUAGAGAUAGUGGACGUUACUCGCAGAAUAAGCACCGGCUAACUCUGUGCCAGCCGCCGCCGUAA